ACUACGCCGAACUUCCCAAGGGAACACGGGGGAACCAACCACAGGGGUGAAGCCGCACGACCGGGUUUGAUGCCGGUCGGCGGCCGGGAUACCUCUUGUCCCGAACCCGACAGCUAACCCCGGAGGCGAUAAAAGGAGGAA
rnacentral:sRNA from 1 species